rnacentral:rRNA from 1 species
UACAGAGGGGGCAAGCGUUGUUCGGAAUUACUGGGCGUAAAGGGCGCGUAGGCGGCCUUCUAAGUCGAACGUGAAAUCCCCGGGCUCAACCCGGGACUGCGUCCGAGACUGGAAGGCUUGAAUCCGGGAGAGGGAUGUGGAAUUCCAGGUGUAGCGGUGAAAUCGCGUAGAUAUCUGGAGGAACAUCGGUGGCGAAGGCGGCAUCCUGGACCGGUAUUGACGCUGAGGCGCGAAGCCAGGGAGCAAACGGG